rnacentral:rRNA from 1 species
GAAAUGCAUUUAGGUGCAGCGUCACGUGUUUUCACAUCUGGGGUAGAGCUACUGGAUGGCCUAGGGGGCUUACCGGCUUACCGAAGUCAACCAAACUCCGAAUACAGGUGUGUGAGAGCGUGGCAGUGAGACGGCGGGGGGAUAAGCUUCGUCGUCGAGAGGGAAACAGCCCAGAACACCAGCUAAGGCCCCUAAGUGUGUGCUGAGUGGAAGGAUGUGGAGUCGCUGAGACAACCAGGAGUUGGCUUGAAGCAGCCAUCCUUGAAGAGUGCGUAAUAGCUCACUGGUCAAGUGGUUCUGCGCCGACAAUGUAGCGGGGCUAAGCACACCGCCGAAGCUGUGUCAUUCACACUUGUGAUCGGCCCAUACUCUUUGGGUGUGGGUCCAGUCGUGUGGAUGGGUAGGGGAGCGUCCUGCAUCCAGGGAAGCAGCCGGGUGACCGAGUUGUGGAGGGUGUGGGAGUGAGAAUGCAGGCAUGAGUAGCGAAUGCAGAGUGAGAAUCUCUGCCGCCGGAUGACCAAGGGUUCCUGGGCCAGGUUGUUCCGCCCAGGGUAAGUCGGGACCUAAGGCGAGGCCGACAGGCGUAGUCGAUGGACAACGGGUUGAUAUUCCCGUACCCGCGUGUGUGCGUCCCUGGCGAGGCAGGUGAGACUAACCACCCGCCCUGCGCGUUGCUCCUUCGGGAGUGUGUGUGGGGUGCGUGGGACCUGAUCUUGUAGUAGCCAAGCGAUGGGGUGACGCAGGAAGGUAGCCCCGCCAGUCAGUGGUGAUACUGGUGUAAGCGUGUGGCCCGCCCGAUAGGCAAAUCCGUCGGGCUGAUCUUCGAGAUCGAGGGUGAGGCGUGAUGCAUAGCCGUUGUGGCGAAGUAGGGUGAUCCUCUGCUGCCGAGAAAAGCCUCUAGCGAGUGCGCGCGUGGCCCGUACCCCAAACCGACACAGGUGGUCAGGUAGAGAAUACCAAGGCGAUCGGGUGAACUGUGGUUAAGGAACUCGGCAAAUUGCCCCCGUAACUUCGGGAGAAGGGGGGCCAAUGCACCUGAAGCUCUUUGCGGGCUAGGGUGGGUUGGCCGCAGAGACCAGCGGAAAGCGACUGUUUAUUAAAAACACAGGUCCAUGCGAAGACGUAAGUCGAUGUAUAUGGACUGACGCCUGCCCGGUGCUGGAACGUUAAGAGGACCGGUUAACCCCUUUCGGGGGGUGAAGCUGAGAAUUUAAGCGCCAGUAAACGGCGGUGGUAACUAUAACCAUCCUAAGGUAGCGAAAUUCCUUGUCGGGUAAGUUCCGACCUGCACGAAUGGCGUAACGACUUUCCGGCUGUCUCAACCACAGGCCCGGCGAAAUUGCACUACGAGUAAAGAUGCUCGUUUCGCGCGGCAGGACGGAAAGACCCCGGGACCUUUACUAUAGCUUGGUAUUGGUUUUCGGUUCGGCUUGUGUAGGAUAGGUGGGAGACUGUGAAGCGGCCACGCCAGUGGUCGUGGAGUCGUCGUUGAAAUACCACUCUGGCCGGAUUGGGAAUCUAACCUCGGACCGUGAGCCGGUUCAGGGACAGUGCCUGGUGGGUAGUUUAACUGGGGCGGUUGCCUCCUAAAGAGUAACGGAGGCGCCCAAAGGUUCCCUCAGCCUGGUUGGCAAUCAGGUGUUGAGUGUAAGUGCACAAGGGAGCUUGACUGUGAGACCGACAGGUCGAGCAGGUACGAAAGUAGGGACUAGUGAUCCGGCACCUCCUGGUGGAAGGGGUGUCGCUCAACGGAUAAAAGGUACCCCGGGGAUAACAGGCUGAUCUUGCCCAAGAGUCCAUAUCGACGGCAUGGUUUGGCACCUCGAUGUCGGCUCGUCGCAUCCUGGGGCCGGAGUAGGUCCCAAGGGUUGGGCUGUUCGCCCAUUAAAGCGGCACGCGAGCUGGGUUUAGAACGUCGUGAGACAGUUCGGUCCCUAUCCGCCGCGCGCGUUGGAGACUUGAGGAAGGCUGUCCCUAGUACGAGAGGACCGGGACGGACGAACCUCUGGUAUGCCAGUUGUCACGCCAGUGGCAUGGCUGGUUAGCUACGUUCGGAAGGGAUAACCGCUGAAGGCAUCUAAGCGGGAAGCCUGUUCCAAGAUGAGGUCUCCCACCACCUUUGAGUGGGUAAGGCCCCCUAGAGACGAUGGGGUUGAUAGGCCAGACAUGGAAGCGCAGUAAUGUGUUUUUGAGUGGACUGGUACUAAUCGGCCGAGGGCUUGACCU